rnacentral:rRNA from 1 species
AGUGAACGCUGGCGGUAGGCCUAACACAUGCAAGUCGAACGGCAGCACAGUAAGAGCUUGCUCUUACGGGUGGCGAGUGGCGGACGGGUGAGGAAUACAUCGGUAUCUACUUUUUCGUGGGGGAUCACGUAGGGAAACUUACGCUAAUACCGCAUACGACCUACGGGUGAAAGCAGGGGAUCUUCGGACCUUGCGCGAUUGAAUGAGCCGAUGUCGGAUUAGCUAGUUGGCGGGGUAAAGGCCCACCAAGUCGACGAUCCGUAGCUGGUCUGAGAGGAUGAGCAGCCACACUGGAACUGAGACACGGUCCAGACUCCGACGGGAGGCAGCAGUGGGGAAUAUUGGACAAUGGGCGCAAGCCUGAUCCAGCCAUACCGCGUGGGUGAAGAAGGCCUUCGGGCUGUAAAGCCCUUUUGUUGGGAAAGAAAAGCAGCAGGUUAAUACCCCGCUGUUCUGACGGUACCCAAAGAAUAAGCACCGGCUAACUUCGUG